UUGCUCCCUACCACUCAAUUCCAAAGUAUCUCUUUCUCUCUUUGGCCAGCCACACAUUCUUUGUUCUUCUUUUCUUUUCAUUUUCUCUCAACACAACACACACACUCCUCUCCCUCACUCUCCUAUUGGUACACUCCACACCAACAUACACUUUAUUUUUCUGGUAAGGAUCACCGGAAAACUUCAUAGGAAAAGCUAAGGUUCACUCAUCACUACUAUUUGAGGUAAAUCCUUCAGUGUGUGGGUAAGGUUGCUGCCUACAGGGCCAAAAGACCACAUGCAAAAGGGGUAUUGUGCAACACGUAAUUCCCUACUACCCAUGGGGGGAAGAGGUAAAUCAUUGAGUGUGUGGGUGAGGCUAGGUAGGGCCAAGAGACCACAUGCAAAAGAGGUACUACAUGACGUGUUAUCCCCUACUGCCCAUGGAGGGGAUAGGUAAAUCCUUGAGGGUGUGGGUGAGGCUUGGCAGGGCCAAUAGACCACAUGCCAAAAGAGGUACAUAUCAUGCUAGUGUGUUUGGGCUCUAACUUGUUUAUGGCAGUAUGAUGUCUGGGUGAUAUCUCUGUCCUUGUUGCAUCUUAGGUGAGGUUUUCUAGUUUUGAAAUUUUAUUGGGUAUUUAUGGCUCACGGCGAAUGGAAUGUAGUUUCAUAAUUAUUUUUGGAAGCUUGAUACUAAACUAUUCCUAUCGUUCUUGUCAUAUGGUUAAUAAAAUUGUUUUUGCAUAAAUUAAAUGGAAAUUCUCAAAUUAUAACAUGUUUUGUAAAAUGUUCAUUACCAUGAAACUUGCAUUUUCCCCACCCUCAUUAAUUAUGCUGCAUACUGGGCUCUGUCUCAUCCCAUUAUUUUAUAAACUUUUCAGAGUAGACAAAAUCUUUUGAGACAACUUUUUGAUGGCUAACAGUAGUUAGACUAACUACUGAUGGAGGCUGAACUUUUGUGAUGGAGAUAUUAGACGAUGUACAUCUUAAAGUAGGCUUGACUCAUUCUUUUGUAUAUUAUAGUGGUUGUGACUUUAUUCCCAUUGAUGGGACAAGCUGGUAAUAUGUAAUUAUUUAUUUAGACCUCCAUUAUUUUGUGGCCAAUGGUCCUUGUAAUUAUUGCAUAGAGCUCUAACUUAUUUUGAGAAUAUAUUUAAUGGAAUUAUUAUGAUAA